CCUACGGGAGGCAGCAGUGAGGAAUAUUGGGCAAUGGGCGCGAGCCUGAACCAGCCAAGUCGCGUGAGGGAAGACGGUCCUACGGGUUGUAAACUUCUUUUGUAAAGGAGUAAAGUGAGGCACGCGUGCCUUUUCGGAUGUAUCUUAUGAAGAAGGAUCGGCUAACUCCGUGCCAGCAGCCGCGGUAAUACGGAGGAUCCGAGCGUUAUCCGGAUUUAUUGGGUUUAAAGGGUGCGUAGGGGGGUUGUUAAGUCAGGUGUGAAAGUUUGCGGCUCAACCGUGAAAUUGCAAUUGAUACUGGCAGUCUUGAGUACAGUUGAGGUAGGCGGAAUUCGUGGUGUAGCGGUGAAAUGCUUAGAUAUCACGAAGAACUCCGAUUGCGAAGGCAGCCUACUGGACUGCAACUGACGUUGAUGCACGAAAGUGUGGGUAUCAAACAGGAUUAGAUACCCGGGUAGUC
rnacentral:rRNA from 1 species